GGUCAAGCGAAUAAGCGCACACGGUGGAUGCCUUGGCGGUCAGAGGCGAUGAAGGACGUGGCAGCCUGCGAAAAGUGUCGGGGAGCUGGCAACAAGCUUUGAUCCGGCAAUGUCCGAAUGGGGAAACCCACUGCUUCGGCAGUAUCCUGCAGUGAAUUCAUAGCUGCUGGAAGCGAACCCGGUGAACUGAAAUAUCUAAGUAACCGGAGGAAAAGAAAUCAACCGAGAUUCCCUAAGUAGUGACGAGCGAACGGGGACUAGCCCUUAAGCUGGUAUGGUUUUAGAAAAACAACCUGGAAAGGUUGGCCAUAGAAGGUGAUAGCCCUGUAUUUAAAAGGGCCAUACCAGUGAAGACGAGUAGGGCGGGGCACGUGAAACCCUGUCUGAACAUGGGGGGACCAUCCUCCAAGGCUAAAUACUCCUGACCGACCGAUAGUGAACCAGUACCGUGAGGGAAAGGCGAAAAGAACCCCGGAGAGGGGAGUGAAAUAGAUCCUGAAACCGUGUGCGUACAAGCAGUAGGAGCUCGUAAGAGUGACUGCGUACCUUUUGUAUAAUGGGUCAGCGACUUACUGUUCGUGGCAAGCUUAACCGUAUAGGGGAGGCGAAGGGAAACCGAGUCUGAUAAGGGCGCAUAGUCGCGGGCAGUAGACCCGAAACCGGGUGAUCUAGUCAUGCCCAGGGUGAAGGUCAGGUAACACUGACUGGAGGCCCGAACCCACUCCCGUUGCAAAGGUAGGGGAUGAGGUGUGAUUAGGAGUGAAAAGCUAAUCGAACCCGGAGAUAGCUGGUUCUCCUCGAAAGCUAUUUAGGUAGCGCCUCAUAUGUAUCCUCUCGGGGGUAGAGCACUGUUAUGGCUAGGGGGUCAUCGCGACUUACCAAACCAUUGCAAACUCCGAAUACCGAGACGGACUGUAUGGGAGACACACGGCGGGUGCUAACGUCCGUCGUGAAAAGGGAAACAACCCAGACCCACAGCUAAGGUCCCAAAUUCACUGCUAAGUGGAAAACGAUGUGGAAAGGCAUAGACAGCCAGGAGGUUGGCUUAGAAGCAGCCACCCUUUAAAGAAAGCGUAAUAGCUCACUGGUCGAGUCGGUCUGCGCGGAAGAUUUAACGGGGCUAAGCAGUGAACCGAAGCUUGGGGUGCAUCGCGUUAAGCGAUGCGCGGUAGAGGAGCGUUCCGUAAGCCUGCGAAGGUGGAUUGAGAAGUCUGCUGGAGGUAUCGGAAGUGCGAAUGCUGACAUGAGUAACGAUAAUGCGGGUGAAAAACCCGCACGCCGAAAGCCCAAGGUUUCCUUGCGCAACGUUAAUCGGCGCAGGGUGAGUCGGCCCCUAAGGCGAGGGCGAAAGCCGUAGUCGAUGGGAAGCAGGUUAAUAUUCCUGCACCUCGCGUAAGUGCGAUGGAGGGACGGAGAAGGUUAGGUGUACCGGGCGUUGGUUGUCCCGGGGAAAGGCGGUAGGUUUGGAUCCUUGGCAAAUCCGGGGUCCUUUAAGACCGAGCACCGAGACGAGUCUUUGAGACGAAGUCACUGAUACCACGCUUCCAGGAAAAGCUCCUAAGCUUCAGCUUACGCAGACCGUACCGUAAACCGACACAGGUGGGUAGGAUGAGAAUUCUCAGGCGCUUGAGAGAACUCGGGUGAAGGAACUAGGCAACAUGGCACCGUAACUUCGGGAGAAGGUGCACCCUUUUUGGUGGCUCGUGCGAGCUAUAGCUGAAGAGGGUCGCAGAAACCAGGCCGCUGCGACUGUUUAUCAAAAACACAGCACUCUGCAAACACGAAAGUGGACGUAUAGGGUGUGACGCCUGCCCGGUGCUGGAAGGUUAAUUGAUGGGGUCAGCCGCAAGGCGAAGCUCUUGAUCGAAGCCCCAGUAAACGGCGGCCGUAACUAUAACGGUCCUAAGGUAGCGAAAUUCCUUGUCGGGUAAGUUCCGACCUGCACGAAUGGCGUAACGACAGCGGCGCUGUCUCCACCCGAGACUCAGUGAAAUUGAAAUCGCUGUGAAGAUGCAGCGUUCCCGUGGCAAGACGGAAAGACCCCGUGAACCUUUACUAUAGCUUUACACUGAACGUUGAGUUCGUCUGUGUAGGAUAGGUGGGAGGCUAUGAAACCAUGGCGCUAGCUGUGGUGGAGCCAUCCUUGAAAUACCACCCUGUCGUGCUUGACGUUCUAACCUAGGUCCGUAAUCCGGAUCGGGGACCGUGUAUGGUGGGUAGUUUGACUGGGGCGGUCUCCUCCUAAAGAGUAACGGAGGAGCACGAAGGUACGCUCAGCGCGGUCGGACAUCGCGCACUGUGUGCAAAGGCAUAAGCGUGCUUGACUGCAAGAUCGACGGAUCAAGCAGGUACGAAAGUAGGUCUUAGUGAUCCGGUGGUUCUGUAUGGAAGGGCCAUCGCUCAACGGAUAAAAGGUACUCCGGGGAUAACAGGCUGAUACCGCCCAAGAGUUCAUAUCGACGGCGGUGUUUGGCACCUCGAUGUCGGCUCAUCACAUCCUGGGGCUGUAGUCGGUCCCAAGGGUAUGGCUGUUCGCCAUUUAAAGUGGUACGCGAGCUGGGUUCAGAACGUCGUGAGACAGUUCGGUCCCUAUCUGCCAUGGGCGUUGGAGAUUUGAGAGGGGCUGCUCCUAGUACGAGAGGACCGGAGUGGACGAACCUCUGGUGUUCCGGUUGUCACGCCAGUGGCAUUGCCGGGUAGCUAUGUUCGGAAGCGAUAACCGCUGAAAGCAUCUAAGCGGGAAGCGCGCCUCAAGAUGAGAUCUCCCGGGACACAAGUCCCCUAAAGGAACCAUGUAGACUACGUGGUUGAUAGGUCAGGUGUGUAAGUGCAGCAAUGCAUUGAGCUAACUGAUACUAAUGAUCCGUGCGGCUUGACCAU
rfam:Xanthomonas albilineans GPE PC73 complete genome